rnacentral:piRNA from 1 species
UCAAUAAAUGCUUGUUGGAUUUACCUAUU